rnacentral:snRNA from 1 species
AUUGCUUCUCGGCCUUUUGGCUUAGAUCAAAUGUAACAU